ensembl:ncRNA T14F9.7 ncRNA
GGCGCGGCACGGCCCUGCAAAAACUGAACACACGGAAACCGAUGAAAAAGUGUGGUGUCGUCGAGGUUUGACCCAGUUUACACCGAAUGCGAUAGCCGAAAAAGCGCUUUUUCAGUAUAGAUUGGCCGUGCCAUUUUCAU